AGUGGGUAAAUUUCUAUCUUAAAAAUCUACUAGAUUAAGUCCUAACAACCUAUCAAAUUGGGAUCCAACGGCCUACUGGAUUUAUGUGUAAUAGCUUAUAGUUCUAUCUUUAUACAAAUAGGUAAUGAUAGGACUCUAAAUUAAGCAAGCAUAUUGACAGAGAAUAGUGCUCGUAAUCUCAUUCUUCCAUUUUUUUUCUUUCUUUCUUUCAUGUUCUCAAAUUUCAACUAAUUUAGGUAUUGUAGGGUCUCCUACUGGAGCACCUUCAAUGGGUGUGAAUUUUUAUUACAGAUUCUUCCAGGAAGAGACACCUUUAAGCCAGGUCCGAGCUUCGCAUCAGUGGACAACCAACAUUAG
rnacentral:lncRNA from 1 species